GCAGCUCAGGGGUAGAGCAUCUGCUUUGCAUGCAAAAGGUCUUGGGUUCAACCCAAAGCAUCUGUA